rnacentral:rRNA from 1 species
AAUAUUGUACAACGGGGGCAACCCUGCUGCAGCCAUGACGCGUGUGUGAAGAAGGUCNNNGGAGGNUNAAGCACUUUAAGUUGNGGNNACGGGCUUUACGCUAAUACCCUGAGGUGUUGACGCUACCUACAUAAGAAGCACCGGCUAAGUCUGUGCGAGCAGCCGCGGGAAUACAGAGGGUGAAAGCGUUGAUCGGGAUUGCUGGGAGUAAAGCGGGCGUAGAUGGGUCAGUAAGAUGGGUGUGAAAAACCUAGGCUUAACCUGGGAAGUCCUUUCAUAAAUGCUGAGCUAGAGUACGGUAGAGGGUAGUGGAAUAUCCUGUGUAGCGGUGAAAUGCGUAUAGAUAGGAAGGAACACCAGUGGCGAAGGCGACUACCUGGACUGAUACUGACACUGAGGUGCGAAAGCGUGGGGGGCAAAC